UACAGGGGGUGCAAACGUUGCUCGGAAUCAUUGGGCGUAAAGCGCACGUAGGCGGUCUGUUAUGUCGGAUGUGAAAGCCCUUGGCUCAACUGAGGAAGUGCAUCCGAAACUGGCAGGCUAGAGUACUAAAGAGGAUCGCGGAAUUCCCGGUGUAGAGGUGAAAUUCGUAGAUAUUAGGAAGAACACCAGUGGCGAAGGCGGCUCACUGGAUCGGUACUGACGCUGAGGUGCGAAAGCGUGGGGAGCAAACAGG
rnacentral:rRNA from 1 species